rnacentral:rRNA from 1 species
GCAUCGAUGAAGAACGCAGCGAAAUGCGAUAAGUAAUAUGAAUUGCAGAUUUUCGUGAAUCAUCGAAUCUUUGAACGCACAUUGCGCCCUCUGGUAUUCCAGAGGGCAUGCCUGUUUGAGCGUCAUUUCUCUCUCAAACCCCCGGGUUUGGUAUUGAGUGAUACUCUUAGUCGGACUAGGCGUUUGCUUGAAAAGUAUUGGCAUGGGUAGUACUAGAUAGUGCUGUCGACCUCUCAAUGUAUUAGGUUUAUCCAACUCGUUGAAUGGUGUGGCGGGAUAUUUCUGGUAUUGUUGGCCCGGCCUUACAACAACCAAACAAGUUUGACCUCAAAUCAGGUAGGAAUACCCGCUGAACUUAAGCAUAUCAAUAAGCGGAGGA